rnacentral:sRNA from 1 species
AAAUAAAAAGGAUAAAUACCCCUGCAGGAUUAUUGGAUUUGCGGAUACGUUUGAGUUUUAAAUUUUUUUUAAUAUAUUUUUAUAAUUCGGCCAACUCUUUUGGUAAUAAAAAAUAAAUGGGCAAAUGCGGAGGUAUUUUCCCCUCGACCAAAUUAAUGGGAUGGACCGCAUUAAUAUUAAUGGGUAUACCUUUAAUUGCCUAUUUUGAAAAAAUAUUCUGGUAAUCCUAAUAUUUAUACGGUAGGGUAAUUUUACAUUUGGGAAAAAGGUCCUUUUUUUUAUUUUCGUCGGGUAAAGCGGGAAACAAAUAAUUCGUUAGGGUAACGGUAUAAAUCCGUGCAUAUCCCCUAACCGAAUAUAAAAAUUUUCUAACGUUAUUAUAUAUUUGAAAAUCCUUUUCUAUUAUUUUAAACCACCAUUAAUGCGUGGAAUUAUUUAUAAUAAUAUUUUCGUUUACCAAAGCCGGCCUUCCCCAAAUAAUAGGAGGGUUUCCCUCUAUUUUUUAUAUAACAAUAUACAAACGUUCCACCUUUUUAAAAAUACCUCGAAAGUUAAUAAUUUAUAAUCGUACAAAAUAAAUUCCUUUGGUGGUAAUUUCGUCCUGUCCCACAUUAAUAAUAACUGGUGCCUUGCAUAUUUGCAAAAAUAAUUAAUAUUGUAACGCAAAAAUUUUAUUAAUUAAAUUAACCUUUGCACCCGUAUUUAUAACCACCUGGGCAAUAAUUCCCGGUGCAUUUAAUAAACGAACCGAAAUUUAAAAUAUAGGACGUUGGGGUAAGGUUGGGGUAUUAAAUUUGCUGGAUAUAAUAAUAGGUUUUCGAAAAAGGUUAUUUUGCGUAUUUUUGCCUUUAACCAUUUAAAUUUUAAUUUCCUUCCUGGUUUUGGAUUAAUUCGAAAUUUUGGUCUAUUAUUUACCUAACCCCGAAACCUUUUCCGGAUAUUAAUAAACGAAAUGCGUGUUAUUAUCGCAACGGUAAUACCGAAUUAAUUUUCCAAUAGCCUUAUUUUUUCGAUUUUUCCGAUAUUUAAAAUUAUCGGACUUCCCGGAUUUGCGUUUCCCUUUUUCGUUGGAUUUGCGUUUUGUCCGAUUUCCGCCGGAAUUUCCGUUACUUCCUUUGGUUUUAUUUUUGCUUUUGCGUUGGGAGGAGCUGUUUUGGGUAAUUUGCGAUUUCCCGUCCUUUCCGUUUCCAUUUUUCUCGGUUUUUUUGGCUUUUUUACUGGAGGAUUAUCCUGCUAAAUUGCUUUUAACGCCUCGUUUUCGUCCUUUAAUAUUAUUCCAAUAUUUUUAUGCCCAAACCACCGCUUUAUUUCGGGUAAAAAAUAUAAUACCACAAUAAAUAUUAAAAUAUUUCCUCAAUUCAAGUGCCAAUUUAUUAAAAAACCGUAAAAAACAAUUUUUUUCGGUUUCCCUAUUUAUAUGGGAUUUUAAAUUUAAAAAAUAAACAUGGAAAUUAAAAGGAAAUUAUUCCAUAAAAUAUUUAAUUUAUUCCAAUUUUAAUAUAACGUUUUCCUUUUUAAUUUUAUUAAUUUUAAUAAACGUUUUUGUCCAUUUAACGAAAUUGCUCCAAUUAACCUCGGCAACGGUACGUUCGUUUUUUGGGAACCCCAAAAUAUAAAUAUUAUAACGGUUUCGAAACGCAAUUGAUAAAAUUGAAAACCCGUAAAAAACCUUGCGUUCCUUUAUGCAAUAUUUUUUGGGUAUUGCUUUAAAUAUUCGUUAUAUUUGUAAUAACCAAUUAUCUCGUUAUUUCCAUAAUAAAUUAAAUUCCAGGAUAAAAAAAUGGGGAUUUUUAAUUUCCCUUUUCCUUUUAUCCUCAGGAAAUUGGCGUUUCCCUUGGGUAAAAAAUUGGAAUUGCUUUUAAAGCUCCUUGGUUUCCCGUUGGAAAUCCAGCUUUUUUUGCAUAAGUUUUUUAUACCGUUUUAACUGGCGUAUCUUUUUUUUUUCCGCGUCGAGGUCGACCACAGGUUUAAUAACCUUUGACGACUCGCCUGGAUUAUUGUCGGUCAUCGUGUAAAUAACCCAAAAAAAAGGAUUAAAAUUGUCACAACCGGGGAUUGGGUACAGGUUAAAUAUACGGUAAUUAACAAAAUACAAGGUAAUAAUACAGCGUAUAAUAAUCCACGAUAGCAUUAUAAUAAUAGCAUUUGGAUUAAAAACUAAUUUUUAAGGAUUUAGGAUUAACCUGCUAUUUUUAGGAUUUAAGAGCCCCUAUUUAUA